GUGCACAGCUGGAGGUGGGAUCCACACAGCUCAGAACAGCUGGAUCUUGCUCAGUCUCUGUCAGAGGAAGAUUCCUUGGGUUAAGAAAAACCUUCCAGUCUGAACAGUGACUGGAGAGCUCCAAGGAAAGCCCCUUGGUAACGCAGCCGCUGGCACCAUGAACCCAGAGAGCAGCAUCUUUAUUGAGGAUUCCCUUAAGUAUUUCCAGGACCGAGUGAGCAGAGAGAAUCUGCUACAACUGCUGACUGAUGGUAGAGCCUGGAGCGAAUUCAUGGUUGCUGCUGAACUGUCCAGUUCACUCUCAAGGCCUUACUGACUUGAACACUGGCUGUCUAGAAACAGAGAGGCGGGCAGCGGCAAAUAGGAACAGAGGCGGAGCGUCUUCCUCCAUCAGGAGCUGCACCUCGGAAGCGUCCUUAGAUGUGGCUUGGAAUUGGGAUCCUUCAGUUCCCCUCAGGUAUCCCUAUUGCAAUUUUCUGAAUACAUCUUGUGUUAGGCUAAAUAACAACCCCCCACAGAUGUGGAUGUCCUAACCAUGGGACUUGUGAUUUAUGUCACCUUCUCUCAUAAAAGGGACCUCGCAGGUGUGAUCCAGUCAAGGAUCUGGAGAUGGGAGGUUAUCUGGGAUUAUCCGGGUGAGCCCAAGGUAUCCACAAGGGUCCUUAUCAGGCAGAGACAGGAGGGUAAGAGGGAGAAAAGGAGAUGUGAUGAUAGAAGGGGAGAGAGACUGAGAGAGAUCAGAGGAUGCUACAAGGCUGGCUUGAAAAUGAAGGGAGAAGCCGGGAGCUGAGGACAACAGGUGCCUCUAAAAGCUGGAAAAGGCGAGGGAAUGGUUUCUCCCAGAGCCUCCCCAAGGAACAAAGCCCCGCCCACACCUUGAUUUUAGGACUGUACUGGAAAAGAACAACUUUGUGUUGGUUUAAGCCACGGUGUCUGUGGGGCUUUGUGACAGCAGGAGAGGAACCAGCACACCACUCUCUCCCCAUCAGGGCCCUCCUGUGCGCUUAGAAGAUCUAGUGAGGAUGAAAUUCAUCACGUAACCAGAAACCUAUAGAAACAGUUUCUGAAUUUGCUUUUCGUAGGAGAGUCAGCCAAAAAUAUCAACAGCCACAAUUUAUUGGACGCCUUCAGGAAAAAUGUCAAAGCCAGGCAUUCUUCCAAA
rnacentral:lncRNA from 1 species